UACGGACAAAGGGCAGCAAGUUCGCGAAGACAAGCAAAUCCCAUAAACCGUGGCUCAGUUCAGAUCGUAGGCUGCAACUCGCCUACGUGAAGGCGGAAUCGCUAGUAAUCGCAGGUCAGCAUACUGCGGUGAAUACGUUCCCGGGCCUUGUACACACCGCCCGUCACACCAUGGAAGUUGGCCACGCCCGAAGCCGUUACUCCAACCCUUGUGGAGGAGGACGUCGAAGGUGGGGCUGAUGACUGGGGUGAAGUCGUAACAAGGUAUCCGUACCGGAAGGUGCGGAUGGAUCACCUCCUAA
rnacentral:rRNA from 1 species